rnacentral:lncRNA from 1 species
GCCCACUAAGGGACGUACUCGGAUGUGAUCAGGACAAGGAUAGGCUUAUUGUUGGAGGUAUGCCCUAGAGGCAAUCAUAGAGAUGAUGAUAUUCCAUUUGUAUCCAUGAUUUGUAUGUUGUGUUCAUUGAAUAUCCAUUGAAGGCCACUUGAAUUGAUUUGCAAUUAUGUGAAUUGUAUGUGAAACUCUUUACUUGUAUGGUUAUUCUAAAGUUGUCCCUAGUCGGAGUUCAUGUGAGGACACACAUGAAUAUUAGACUAGCACAUGUAUUAGUCGAUGACUAUGUUUCACAAGUCAUGGACAUGGAGAUGUUGAACUAAUAAUGUGGACACAUGUGGAGACAUGUGCUAGGACUGACCCAACACGAGAAGUAGUUCUCUCUUUAAAAUAACAUAUACGCUUUGUCCUUAGACCUGAGAUUGUCGCAUGUAUUCUAGAUGUGGAUCGACCUACUUAGGGGCUAUCAAACGCUACGCCGUAACAGGGUAGUUAUAAAGGUAGUUUUCGGGAUUGUCAAGAAGCAUGCUAUGAGACAUGGUCAAUCAAGAUGGGAUUUGCCCCUCUCUGAUUGAGAGUGAUAUCUCUGGGCCCCUCGAGUGAUCGGAUCCGAAAAUGCAUGGCCAUGCUACGUACGGUUAAGAGUUAACCUACAAAGGGAUUCCGAAUCACAGGAUCGAGAAAGAGCGGUCAGCUUGAAGCUAGACCAAAUAUCGUGAGGCAAAGGGAAUAGCAUGUAUAUUAUGUUGUGAUGGUUCGUCUGAUAUGAUCUUCGUGUGCGUAUAGGAGUUGGCACGUCUUGCUAGAGGCCGCUACCGACUAUUGGGCCGAGUAGGAGUACUCGGGCCAUGUCUAUACGUAUCCGAACCCAUAGGGUCACACACUUAAGGGGCUGGAAGCCCAAUUCGGAUCUGAUCCGAGUUGGAUUAGGUUUAGAAGUACUAAUGGGCCUCGGAUCCAGAGGCCCGUCAGGAACCUCUAUAAAUAGAGGGGUGGGGGGCGCCCUAGGGUUUACACCAUUUUGGCGAAACACACCUGCCGCGCCUCCCACGCCCUCGCCUGUUGCAACUCGCGGAUCUAGCAGUCCGGCUUGCGACGCUUCCUCCCUGCACGUGUGGAUACCUUGGAGGUGUUGCGCCUGCAGCACUUGGACGAGCCGCCGACGAGCCAACGACGAGCCGCGGUACCGGAGGCGAUCUUGCUACACGUGGACGAGCUGCUGAGGAGCUGCUGGACGUGAUCGACUACGUACGACUACGUUGAUCGACUACGUACGACUACGUGAUCGUCUUCACUGCAUCGACGCAUAUCUACAUCUUCCGCACCAGUAGUGCGUCGAGUGGUAAUCCCGUGAUCCUUAUACGGCAGUUCUUCCUGGUUAUACGCGGUAGAAUUUUUGAAUUGCGCUAGUGUAGCCUACCUCGUAUCCCAACAGUGGUAUCAAGAGCCGUAGCUGCUUAGUUUUGGAUUCAGGAUGUGUGCAUAUGGAGAUAUGCGAGUUUUCCGUUUGAUCUAUGUCCUGGUUUCGUGCCCUUGCUGCAAUGGUAGUGUAACGACAUACUCCUACCGGUCGGUUUCCGCCAUCGGAGUUAAGUGAUACACGUAAAUCCAGUUGCAGUGAGCGAAGAUCAAUAUGAUUGGUCGAAUCGAGAUCCAGGGUCAUACGCCAGGCGCAUUAGAUGUGCAAUAGUAGAUGGGAUCUACUGCCGGGGUCGGGAUUUUGCCGUAUGCGUAUGCUUCGGUAAAUCAGCCGUAACUUUUCGGUACGAUCUCGGAUCGGGGCGAUUUUUAUAUGAAAAUUGAUCUACAGAAAAAGUUACACAUGAAAUUCAACCGCUUCGCCGUUUUCGGCGAAAUUAGAUUUCCCAAAUUCGGCUUGGAAGAUGGAGUUUCGGGCAUCCGAAGUUUGGAAGGUUAGGGCGCCUAACUCUGUUUUGCAGGAUGUAUGUAUGUAUCUUGUGAUCAGUAUGGCCCCCUUGUGUAUGUGAUGCAUGUGUGUAACUCAUUCGUGACCUGCGUGUCGCGCGUACGGCAACACGGCAGGAGCCAUAUGUGUUGUCACUUUAUUGUAUUUAAUGGUCUGCGUACCAAUCUAUGAUGAUCCAAGCAACUAUGUAAUCUUCAUUACUAGAUUCUUUACUAGCUAUUAGGUGUAAUAGCAUGCUCUAGUUCUUGGAGGACUCAUCACCAGGAGGAUGGCGCACAUGGAACAUGGAGAUGGAGAUCACCAUGGUGAACAGGUUCUAUGGAGAUGGAGAUCACCAUAUGAAAACGGGCCAUACUGUGUCACAAUUGUGUGAAUGCUAUUCUGUUUGUGUUUUACUUUCUGCAUGCUGUGAUGUUAGAAGUAGAACGAUCCCUCGCAAAGUUUAAGUUAGUAUGCCAACUAAAACUUGCACUGAUAGAGUCGGAGUGCCCGAUCUUUCGGUGAGUGGAGAUAAAUUCGACUUGGUGGAAGUAGACCCUCACGAUCCGACUACGACGAGCGAACCCGAAGCGCCAAUGCAAUCGCUGAACCAACUCCCGAUGGUUACCAACCUCGCCGGUGCGAGAUCAGCCUGAUCACGAAGAUCGAUUCCUGUCCGCAAUCGAAGAACGAACAAGAAAAAGAGGCGAGCAAUCUAAAUAUCACUCGAAGGUGGAGUUCUGAAUCACACAAGGACAGCGCGUAUUUGCGCGUGUUCAAGAGUAGCUAAAGCUAGAUGUAAAACAAAACUCAAGUCGUAAACAAAAAGGACUCGGACUAAAUAAAGGGGGCGCAGCCCCUGGAGUCCGAAGGGGUCACGCGCGCCCAACCCUAGGCGCCCCACCUGGGCUGCCCUGUUGGGCCAUCUUCUUAUUCCGAUGGGCCUUCGUUCCUUAACAGCAUGAUGAAGUUUAAUUCUCUCGCACGGGCUCGAGUGAUUGGCCCAACUGGAUGAGCAACUGUAGGCGCCUGAGGUGGAGGAGCAACUGAAGGCGCCUGAGGUGCUGCUGGUGUAGAUGUACUCGUGGUGUCCUCAUCAUGCACCGUCCCAUGCCUUGUACAAUUAGUGGUGGGUCUAUGAAAUUAGGGUACCACUAGUUUUCCUUGACUAGAUGGGUUUGUGUCAGACACUUACACGCAUAAGGGUUGGUUUGCUUAACGAGGUCAUCUUAACGGUUAAGGACCUUGGGGCAUAACGGUUGGGCGCCGAGACAUGGAGAUGUCACCCAACAACAGGAGUCAUAUGUGAUAUGAUUAGCAAAAGUUGCUUACCGAUCUACCUUGUUUGCUAGCGGUGAUGCUAAAGCUCACUAGUGGACUUGUUAGUUGUGGAUCCUGAAUCACUAAGUUUCAAUAGAGGGAUAUUGAUUUUAGUGGGAGUAGAUUCUGUUAAAAUAGUUUAAUGUGAUUUGCUCUAUCAUGGAUACGUUUGUCUUAGUGUAUUUUGCAUUACUUUGUUGUAGAUUAAAUGGCACCUAGCAGCACUACACCGUUUGCUUUGCGUUCGGUCCUUGAAAAGGACAAGUUGAAUGGAACAAAUUACUCGGAUUGGAUCCGCAACCUGAGAAUUGUUCUCAGGGCUGAGAAAAAGGAAGAUGUUCUAGACAACCCACUACCAGAAGAACCUGCUGAUGAUGCACCCGCUGCUGCUAAGAAUGCUUACAAGAAAGCAUGUGUGCUAACCUCGAAGUAAGCUGCCUUAUGCUUGCUUGCAUGGAACCCGAGCUGCAGAUGCAGUUCGAAACAAACCAUGAGGCGCACGAUAUGAUCGUGGCGCUUAGAGACAUGUUCCAAACACAGGCCAGGACUGAAAGGUUCAAUGUGUCUAAGGCCUUUGUUGAGAGCAAGCUAGCAGAAGGCGCAGCAGUAGGACCACACGUAAUCAAGAUGGUUGGUUACACUCAACGGUUAGAGAAGCUAGGCUUCCCACUGGGCCAAGAGUUGGCCACUGAUUUCAUUCUUUCGUCUCUUCCGCCUAGCUAUGGGAACUUCAUCUCAAACUACCAUAUGCAUGGGACGGAGAAGAGUCUGAAUGAGCUGUGUGGCAUGCUUAAAACAGCAGAGGCUGACAUCAAGAAAAACGCUAGUACCAGCCAUGUGAUGGCGAUACAAAACAAGCCUAGCUUUAAGAAGAAGGGCAAUUCUUGGAAGAAGAAGGGCAAGGCUGGAACGUCCAGGCCAAACCCACCGCCCAAGGUUAAAGCUGGACCUGGACCUGCUCCAGACAAAGAGUGCUUUUACUGUCAUGAACUUGGUCACUGGAAGAGAAACUGCAAGCAGUACCUAGCUUCCUUGAAGAAUGGCGGAAGUAAGAGUACUUCUACCUCAGGUACGCUUGUUGUUAAUGUUAUAGACAACAUAUUUCUCGCUGAUACAAUUAUUAAUUCUUGGGUAUUUGAUACCGGAUCGGUUGCUCAUAUUUGCAAUUCGAUGCAGGGAAUGAUAAGAAGUAGAAGCGUGGAAAGAGGAGAAGUUGAUUUCCGCGUGGGCAAUAAUGCAAGAGUUGCUGCUUUGACCGUCGGGACGAUGCAACUCCACCUCCCGUCAGGAUUUAUUAUGGAGUUGAAUAAUUGUUAUUUUGUUCCUAGUUUAAGUCGAAACAUUUUAUCUCCUUCAUGCUUGAUGAAGGAUGGUUAUUUAUUUGCGAGUGAAAACAAUGGUUGUGUGAUCUCUAAGAAUAAUAUGUUUAUGGCUUUUGCACCCAUUGUGAAUGGAUUAUUUGUUUUAAAUCUUGAUGGUUCACCUGUCUGUAAUGUAAGUGCUAAAAGGCCUCGGCCUAAUGAUUUGAGUCCUACCUACUUGUGGCAUUGUCGUUUGGGUCAUAUAAGUGAAAAGCGAAUGAAGAAGCUCCAUUCUGAUGGACUUCUAACUUCGUUUGAUUUUGAAUCAUACGAGACAUGUGAGGCUUGCUUGCUAGGCAAGAUGACCAAGACGCCUUUCACAGGAUUUCCUGAGAGAGCAGUAGACUUGUUGGGACUCGUACAUAGUGAUGUAUGCGGACCAAUGAGCACGACGGCUAGAGGAGGAUUCUAAUACUUCAUAACUUUCACUGAUGAUUUUAGUAGAUAUGGCUAUGUCUACUUGAUGAGGCACAAGUCUGAAACCUUUGAAAAGUUCAAGGAAUUUCAGAAUGAAGUUGAAAAUCAGCAUGGCAAGAAAAUUAAGGCCUUACGAUCUGAUCGUGGAGGCGAGUAUUUGAGCCACGAGUUUAGCAAUCAUCUAAAGAGUUGCGAAAUUGUUCCACAACUUACGCCGCCUGGAACACCUCAGAGAAAUGGUGUGUCCGAGCGACGUAAUCGAACUUUGUUAGACAUGGUUCGAUCAAUGAUGAGCUAGUCGGACCUACCGUUGUCAUUUUGGGGAUACGCUCUAGAAACAGCAGCUUUCACACUUAAUAGGGUACCAUCUAAAUCCGUAGUUAAGACACCAUAUGAGAUAUGGACUGGAAAGGUUCCUAGUUUGUCUUUUCUAAAGAUUUGGGGAUGUGAAGUGUUUGUCAAGCGACUUCACUCGGACAAGAUCACACCCAAGUCGGAUAAGUGCAUUUUCGUGGGAUAUCCAAAGGAAACUUUGGGAUAUUAUUUCUACAACCGAUCAGAAGGCAAAGUGUUUGUCGCUCGGAACGGGGUUUUCCUAGAGAAAGAGUUUCUCAAAGGAGAAAAGAGUGGAAAGACAGUGCAUCUUGAAGAAGUUCAAGAUGAGCCGAUCGGGCAAGAAUCAAUGAGUGAUGCUAACGUAGCAGAACAAGUUGAGUAACCAUAGCAAGAGAAGCACCGCCACAACCACGAAGGCCAGCAAGGCUCCGUGAAAUGCGGGAAAUAUUAUUGUUGGACAAUGAUGAGCCUGCGACAUAUGCAGAAGCAAUGAUGGACCCAGACUCCGAAAAAUGGCAGAAUGCCAUGCAAUCCGAAAUAGAGUCCAUGGGAGACAAUCAAGUUUGGAACUUGGUUGACCCACCUGAUGGUGUUAAAGCCAUAGAGUGCAAGUGGAUCUAUAAGAAGAAAAAGGACAUGGAUGGAAAUGUUCACAUCUAUAAAGCACGACUUGUCGCAAAAGGUUUUCGACAAGUUCAAGGAGUUGACUACGACGAGACCUUCUCGCCCGUAGUGAUGCUUAAGUCCAUUCAGAUUAUUCUAGCUAUAGCUGCAUAUUUCGAUUAUGAGAUAUGGCAGAUGGAUGUCAAGACAGCUUUCCUGAAUGGAAACCUAACUGAGGACGUGUAUAUGAUACAGCCCGAGGGUUUUGUCGAUCCGAAAAAUGCUGGAAAGGUAUGCAAGCUUCAGAGAUCCAUUUAUGGAUUGAAGCAAGCAUCUAGGAGUUGGAACAUUUAUUUUGAUGAAGUGGUUAAAGGGUUUGACUUCACCAAGAACGAAGAAGAGUCUUGUGUUUACAAGAAGGUUAGUGGGAGCUCUGUAGUAUUUCUAAUCUUAUAUGUGGAUGACAUAUUACUGAUUGGAAAUAACAUUCGUAUGCUUGAGUCCAUAAAGACUUCACUGAAAAAUAGUUUUUCGAUGAAGGACUUAGGGGAAGCGGCAUAUAUUUUGGGCAUUAAGAUCUAUAGAGAUAGAUCGAGAAGGCUUAUAGGUUUAAGCCAAGAUACUUACAUUGACAAAGUGUUGAAGCGGUUCAGCAUGGAAGAGGCAAAGAAAGGGUUCUUGCCUAUGUCACAUGGCAUACAUCUCAGCAAGACUCAGUGUCCUUCGACUGCUGAUGAGCGGGAUCGCAUGAGUAGAGUGCCAUAUGCUUCGGCUAUUGGAUCUAUCAUGUAUGCAAUGAUAAGUACUCGCCCAGAUGUUUCAUAUGCGCUAAGUAUGACAAGCAGACACCAAUCUGAUCCAGGUGAGAGUCACUGGACAGCGGUGAAAAACAUUCUUAAGUACUUAAGAAGGACUAAUGAUAUGUUCCUCGUCUAUGGAGGUGAGGAGGAGCUCGUUGUAACAGGUUACACCGAUGCUAGUUUCCAAACCGACAGAGAUGAUUCAAAGUCACAAUCAGGAUUUGUGUUCACGCUAAAUGGUGGUGCUGUUAGUUGGAAGAGUUUCAAGCAGGAGACGGUGGCCGAUUCUACGACAGAAGCCGAGUAUAUCGCGGCUUCGGAAGCCGCGAAGGAAGGUGUUUGGAUAAGGAAUUUCCUUAUUGAGCUUGGUGUGUUCCCGAAUGCAUCCAGCCCAUUGAAUCUCUACUGUGAUAACAAUGGGGCAAUUGCGCAAGCAAAGGAGCCAAGUAACCACCAGAAGAACAAACACGUAAUGCGGCGAUUUCAUCUCAUUCGAGACUUCGUUAACCGGGGUGAGAUCAAGAUAUGCAAAAUACACACAGAUCUGAACAUUUCUGAUCCGUUGACAAAACUACUCCCGCAGGCUAAGCAUGAUGCGCAUGUAAGAGCUAUGGGUAUUAGAUACCUUCUAGAUUGACUCUAGUGCAAGUGGGAGACUGUUGGAGGUAUGCCCUAGAGGCAAUCAUAGAGAUGAUGAUAUUCCAUUUGUAUCCAUGAUUUGUAUGUUGUGUUCAUUGAAUAUCCAUUGAAGGCCACUUGAAUUGAUUUGCAAUUAUGUGAAUUGUAUGUGAAACUCUUUACUUGUAUGGUUAUUCUAAAGUUGUCCCUAGUCAGAGUUCAUGUGAGGACACACAUGAAUAUUAGACUAGCACAUGUAUUAGUCGAUGACUAUGUUUCACAAGUCAUGGACAUGGAGAUGUUGAACUAAUAAUGUGGACACAUGUGGAGACAUGUGCUAGGACUGACCCAACAAGAGAAGUAGUUCUCUCUUUAUAAAGGUAGUUUUCGGGUUUGUCAAGAAGCAUGCUAUGAGACAUGGUCAAUCAAGA